rnacentral:tmRNA from 1 species
GGGGAUGUAUUUGGUUUCGACAGUAUUUUGGCCCAUAUAAAUAGCGAGUAGUGGAUUCUCACUUGGCCACUUUAAUAAUGUGAGAAAUAAAAAUAAACGCUGAUAAUAGAGAAUUAGCAUACGCUGCUUAGUUUAAGUAGCACGUCUUACUUUAAGUGCCCACGCUUUUAGAUAAGGCGCCGAUCAGUGGGAAACAAAGCUAUUUUUAGCCAUGAAAAUAGUGGAUAAUUUAAAUGGCUACCUUAUUAUUUAGUUUGUUUGUUAACUUUUUAAAAAGGGAAUUUUAAUAACAAACUGUACUCGGAGAAGUUUAUAUGGUAAGAAUAUUGGACAGGGGUUCGACUCCCCUCAUCUCCACCA